rnacentral:rRNA from 1 species
UACGAAGGGGGGCUAGCGUUGCUCGGAAUCACUGGGCGUAAAGCGCACGUAGGCGGCUUCUUAAGUCAGGGGUGAAAUCCUGGAGCUCAACUCCAGAACUGCCUUUGAUACUGAGGAGCUUGAGUCCGGGAGAGGUGAGUGGAACUGCGAGUGUAGAGGUGAAAUUCGUAGAUAUUGGGAAGAACACCGGUGGCGAAGGCGGCAACCUGGUCCUUGACUGACGGCGAGGCGCGAAAGCGUGGGGAGCAAACAGG